AGGGAAGAGCCACAGCUCUGGAGAGCACUCUUUUCUUCUGGUCCAUUAUUUUCCCUGAAGAGACCCCUGACGCCUAAAGGUAAGGCAGGAGCACUUUCUGCUUAUUCCCAUCCCAGCUUCUUCCCAUGGCUAGGAGCCUUCUGCACCUUCAUUUCCAGUCCCUUCACAGGAACUUGUCUCUCAUGAAUAGGCACCAAGCCUCCCACAAAAGGAAUUCACAGUUUCCAGUCCCAGUUCCCACACUGAGCAAAGUGUUUCACAUCAGAGGCACUGUGGGGGGCUCCACAAUGUAGCUGUAACUUCACAUCCAAACUCCUCAUCAUCAGCCUCCUGGAUGUGCACAGGUCCCCCAUAUCCCACACGUUGCACUGAGCAACCCCUGGGGGGAGGGGACAAGUGCAUGGAACAAUGUAAAGAGCACACACUAGGGCUGUGCAGUGCACAAUCUGCGCAGCUGUACAAAGCGGCCCUGGCAGAAACUAUGUCUUGUAUGAUUCAUUACCCUCCCGGCCUCAUGCUGAGCAACUAAAAUGCCCUUUAUAAAUAUUAUUGAUUCACUGGCAUUUCUAAGUGAAGUGUUUUCCUUCAAUGAGAAAAACAGUAAAAGUCAACAAGGAAAGAAAAAGACUCUGGUGAAUAUUAGAUAAAUGCUGCAGCUCCUUGGAUCAGAUCACGUCCACUCUGGAUGUUCGUAAUUGCACAGUAGGGAUAAAACGACCUGACUUAUGCAGUCGUCUCUGGGAAUGGAAGGGAUUAGGUGCUACUUGAGAUUUUGAUGUUCCUCCUUUCUGUCCAUGUACGAGCAUCACCUUAUAAUACUUAUAAUAACCUUGCCCCUUUCAUUUUUUCCACUUAAUGACAUUGUUCUCCCCAGAUUGCCACUUUUCGUUGGAAACCAAUAAGUACCUACAGAUUUAUUGAGUUAGUAACAAUGAUUGUCUUCUUCCUUAGACCUUCCAUAGAUGAGCCAGUGCAAGAUCAUACUGCCAAAGGUCGAGAUCAGGAGGGUGUCAGAGGAAAGAACCUUCCUCGGUGCCUACGGGGCACGCACCACUUCCUAGGACUGAUCUAUAUAGGUCACGAGGCCUGUUUGUUAGAGGAGAGGAGUAGAACUGUCAACCAGCUGCACUCCAGCCUGGGUGACAGGGCAAGACUCUACCUCAAAAUAAAUAAAUAAAUAACAUCACUAAACAUCCAGAGGGGUAAAAAUGGGGUAAAAUGGGGUAAAAAAUGUCAACCAACCGUCUUUCCCUGUACACCAAAUACCUAGACGUCAAAAUUACAACCAGAGCUUGCUUGAUGACUGGGGAUGCCAAGUUGGAGUGCUUGCAGGUGGAUACAUAACAGGAUAUACCAACCCAAGAAUAGGGAGAGUGGCAUCCAUGGCGCAGCAGACAUGCUGCAGGAUGGAAUUUGAAAGGCUCAGCCUGCUCCUGGCACUUCCAGGUUUUUUUUCUUCUGUUCCCCAGCCUGUCUCUCACUUUCGAUUCAUAUACUCCUUCACUACACUAUAAAGUACAAGUGAAUAGAUUCCAAAGAUUCUGUUUUGUCCCCUUGGGAUUACUCCCUGUCGUGCCUGAGUACAAGUUCUUGUGGUUCCAAGCCCUCUAGAGCCUCAUCCACAGAUGAUUGCUUGGUUUGCUCCUAACCUCCAGGUGUGGAUUUUCCCAAUUUGAUUCCCAAAGGGAAACUUUUCAUCUGGGUUCCAGGGAAACAUUAGACUGGCUGCCCCGGUUCAGUGUCUCUUUCCUGCUUUUUUUUUGUUUUGGUUUGGUUUGGUUUUUGAGACUGAGUCUCGCUCUGUCGCCCAGGCUGGAGCACAGUGGCAUGAUCUCGGCUCACGGCAACCUCCGCCUUCCAGGUUCAAGUGAUUCUCCUGCCUCAGUCUCCCAAGUAGCUGGGAUUACAGGUGCCUGCCACCAGGCCUGGCUAAUUUUUGUAUUUUUAGUAAAGACAGGGUUUCACCAUGUCGGCCAGGCUAGUCUUGAACUACUGACCUCAAGUAAUCCACUCACUUUGGCCUCCCAAAGUGCUGAGAUUACAGGCAUGAGCCACUGCCUCUGGCCUUUUUCCUGCUUUUAAAGAGCUGGUGUGAAAAAGAGUGUGAGACAAUGCCUGCAACAUUCCCACACUCGUGCUUGGCACAAUUAGAUGGUCUAUAAUGUUGGUUUCCUUUUCCAGGAGUAAUAAAGCAUGUUUAGUACCUCUGUGCUAUGAUCUAAACAUCUGUGUCCCCCCUCAGAAUUCAUACUGUUGAAACUUAAUCCCCAAGGUGGUGCUAUUAAGAGGUGAGGCCUUUGGGAGGUAAUUAGGUCCUAAGAGCUCCACCCUUGUGAAUGGGAUUAGUGCCCUUAUUAAAGAGGCCUGGGGGAGCCUGCUCAUCCCUUCCGCCAUGUGAGGACACAGAAGGUGCCAUCUGGGAGAAGCGAGCCCUUGCCAGACUCCGAAUCUACUGGUGCCUUGAUCUUGGACUUCCCAGCUGCCAGAAGUAUGAGCAAUCAAGUUCUGUUGUUUGUAAAUUACCCAGUCUAAGGUAUUUGUUAUAGCAGCCCGAAUGGACUAAGACACUCUCCAUAUCCCAUAGCAUUAUCAUAGAGAAAAGGGGACAGGUGCAGAUGUCCCCGGGAGAGCUUUUGUUGAGUAACUGGAGGCAUGCAAACCCCAACCCAAUCUCAAAUCCUAACUAAGAAUCAAAGUGUGACAACUGUGUGUUAGGGAGACCUGGAGUGGCAGGUGUGCCUUGGAUGUGGAUUCUCAGAGACAGCAGUGUUGACGCCUUGCUGGACUAAUCCGUGACCACCCACUAUGGCAGGGACAGUGAUUUACUCUCCCAGCUAAUGUGAAAGCUCUGGUCAGAUUGCAUUCCAACAAAACCUCUAACUCAGAACUGCAGAGAUGCUCGAGAAUCCAACAGAAAGUCCACUUUGAUAUAAAGCAUGUUCCAAGGCAGUUGGCUAUCUUUGCCUCCUGCCCUGGAGAGCAAUAACCAGGCCUUAUGUUCACUACCCUGAGAUGGAGGAGAGCAUGUAAAAGAAAAUAAAAUUGUUGUCUUUUACUUUUCUUCGUUUUCUUUUUUUGUGAGACAGAGUUUCACUCUGUUGCCCAGGCUGGAGUGCAAUGGUGCAAUCUCGGCUCACUGCAACCUCCACCUCCCAGGUUCAAGCGACUCUCCCGCCUCAGCCUCCUGAGUAGCUGGGAUUACAGGUGUGCACCACCAUCCCUGGCUAAUUUUUUGUAUUUUUAGUAGAGACAGGGUUUCACCAUGUUGGCCAGGCUGGUUUUGAACUCCUGACCUCAGGUGAUCCACCUGCCUCGACUUCCCAAAGUGCUGGGAUUAUAAGCGUGAGCCACCCUGCCUGGCCAGCUUUUACUUUUCAGUGAGAAACGAAAUGUACAAGGCAUUCCGAGGGAACAUUUUACCCAUAUGCAUCCAGGACCCAAUGAAGAGGCCGCCAGCCCCUCCUGUAGCCUCAGAACUGUGAGUCCAUCUCUGUAAACAGGUGAGGCAGCUGGAGAAGCACUGGUGCCACCCAUUCCACCUGCAGCCCCCAAGCUUGAAAGUGGUUGGCAUGGAAAAGGAAUAACCCUUACCUUUAGGAACAAAGAGAGGUGGAGUCCAAGGACCUUUCCAAUACUAUCUGAGCUGUAAACACAAAGCUGUAAACAAAGCUAUUUAUGGAGCACCUCUCACGUGUUGACACUAGGCUGGCCACUGGGUAUGUGUAAACUCAUUUGAUCUUCAGAUAACACAGAGGGGUCAGUGGUAUUAUUAUCCCCAUUUUCCAGAGGGAAGACUGAGGCUAGCAGGGGUAAGCUGUUGAUUCACCCAAGAUCACUCAGCUAGGAAGUGGCUCGAGCAGGAUUUGGACACGGAUCCAUCUUACACUUCCCAUUCGGGCUCCGCUGUCGGUGCCUGCAGGAAAGGGUCUGUGGCAGCACGGAUUAUAUAAGGCUUCCAAAACUUCAUAACCUCCUGUGCUUGUUAUUUUUGUCUCUCAGCUGUCUGUGUCCCCACUGUGACAAGUUGAGAAUAAAAAAUCUUCAAACAAGAGGAGUCCAUCUGCUUGUCUUUAGAGGCAGCAAGAAAAUAAAUCUCUUGAUGGAGACGGUAUCGCUCUGCUGCCCAGGCUGCAGUGCAGUGGCACAAUCACAGCUGACGGCAGACUUGACCCCCCCAGGCUCAAGCGAUCCUCCCACCUCAGCCUCCAGAGUAGCUUGGACUACAGCCCUGUCUCAGUGUGGCCUGCUCCCAGAACUGUUUCUCCUGACUUCUCAUUUCACCAAGAAGACAUGGACUCAGAAAAAUGAAGAGAGAAACACAAAGACACAGGAGCAGCAACCAAGCCCCUCUUCUCCAGGCAAUCAUCUGACUUCAAUUGGCAUAGACCCCUUAGGGGUGUGGACACUGUCUGAAAGUAUCUGGAGAGACCAAGUUUCAGCAGCCACUAAGCUGUCAAGGCUCUUUAAAAAUCUGAUUCCUGGCCAGGCACGGGGGCGCACGCCUGUCACCCCAGUACUUUGGGAGGCUGUGGUGGGCAGAUCACUUGAGGCCAGGAGUUCUAGAUCAGCCUGGCCAACAUGACGAAACCCCAUCUCUACUAAAAAUAUGAAAAUUAGCUGGGUGUGGUAGUGCACACCUGUAAUCCCAGCUACUCGGGAGGCUGAAGCAGGAGAAUCGCUUGAACCCAGAAGGCGGAGGUUGCAGUGAGCCGAUAUCGCACCAUUGCACUCCAGCCUGGGCAACAGAGUGAGAUUCUGUGUCAAAAAAAAAAAAAAAAAAAAAUCUGAUUCCACUGUUCUGAGUGUGAGGCUGUCCAAGCCUCCACUGUUUUUCCUCUGUGCUCUGAGCCCAGACUGAAAUCUGUAGAGAGUGGCAACGUGUGGGAUGGAAAGAAAAUGAGCUUUGAGGUCUAACAGGAAUGGGGCUGAAUCCCACUCCUGUGACUUAGGAGCUAUGACUUUCCCUGCAGGGCUCUGCCAUGAUUAAAGGAAAUAAUCUAUAUACAUGUGCCAGUGCACACAGUAGCUGCUCAAUAUAGGAAAGUAGUUUGUUUCGAUUCAUGUGAUUGUGAAUCUCGAACAUACCUGUGCUUGUAUCUUGUCACAGUCGCUUCGUCCCUGGGUGACAUCCAAUCCAUCCUUUCAGUCCUAGGUUAACUGAUACCUCCUCUGGGAAGCAGCACCUGAUUUCCAAGCCAAAUAAGACAUCACAUGGAAAUAUAACCAUGUCAUUGCCCCAUGCAAAAUUAUCUGGUGAUUCUCCAUUGCCUAGAGAACAAAAUUGAUGUCUCCUAAGCAAGAACAACAAGGCUCUUUCUGAUUUAACAAUUGCCCCCAGUUCUUCCCCAAACCCCGCCCUCAUUUAAUAUUCCAGCCAUAUGCAUCUAUGGUGGCUUCCUGAAUACAGCCAGCUCCUGCAUACUUCCCUAAUGCUAAGGUCCAUGCCAUCAAACUUAGGAGGUUGGAUCAACUUGCACUUGAAUUUCUGGAACACAAGCAUGCAAAAUGCAGAAACUGGCUGUACCCUGGUGACAGGGGAAAAGGCGUCCCUCCCAUGGGUGGAUCAGAAAUCAAGGGCUCUGCCGCUGCUCUUUGAGGGUAGUGGGUAAGAGUGUGGUCCUUGAACAGAAUCAAACCUGGCCUAACUCUUACUUGUCACUUACCAGCAAUGUAAUCUUGGCUGUGUCUCUGAACUCCCAUUUCUCUAUCUGGGGGAGGGAAAUGGUAAGAACACCCCUAAACUGUUAGAGGAAGGAAUGUCUGGCAUAUAGCAGGUGCUCAAUAAAUGUCCAUUCUUAUUAGAAUUUCUGGAAGAAACAGGCAAUGGUUCCCUGAAAUACCACUGGACUGUCACAAGCAUUUCAGUUGGGUUUCAUGCACUGUCUGAAGAGAUUGAUCCAAGCACCUUGGAUACAUCCGUAGCUCAACAUUAAAAGGCCAAGGUUAUAUCUUCCACUCCCAUCCUUCCCCUCCAGAGCCCCCCUCGGUGGAAAUGACAGAGUCAGGUAAGACACCUUCCUGGGGGAAAGCAUAUCUGCACUCAGGGAACAUGUUCAAGAAUUCAGCCUCUGCCUCUUCAGGCCUUAUAUGAUGUAUGGAUUACAGUAUAAAAAGAUCAAAUAUCUGGAGGCACAGGACUUGGAUUCUAAUCUUGGAUCCUAAUUCUGGCCCUGUUGGUUACCAGCUGUGUGAUCUUGGCUAAGUCACCUACCCUCUGUAAGCCUCAAAUUCCUCAUCUGUAAUAUGGAGGACCUACCUCACAAAUCAGAUGAUGAGAGGGAGAAUGUUUGGGGGUAUAGCCAUACUAUACAGUAUGGCUCAGGCCUAAGGUUCUUGAAUUUGCUUGUUUUUCCUCUUGGCCUAUUUUACUACAGGUUAAAAAUCUGUUAUCUGGCCAGGUGCAGUGGCUCACACCUGUAAUCCUAGCACCUUGGGAAGUCAAGGUGGGUGGAUCACUUGAGAUCUCAAGUUUGAGAUCAGCCUAGGCAACAUGGUGAAAACCUGUUCUACAAAAAAUACAAAAAUUAGCCGGGUGUGGUGGGGCACACCUGUAGUCCCAGCUGCUUGGGAGGCUGAGGUGGGAGGAUCGCUUGAGCCCAGGAGGCGGAGGUUGCUGUGAGCCAAGAUGGCACCACUGUACUCCAGCCUGGGUGAUAGAGCCAGACCUUGUCUCAAAAACCAAAACAACGACAACAAAAUCUCUCUUAUCUACAAUUCCAAAAUGCAAAAGCAUCUGAGAAACAAUAUUUUUUUGUAAUUCAUUUGGCUGCAAAACUUGUACUGAAUUGAUGAGUCCAUUUAUAGACUUUAUCCCACUUAUGAUGAAUAUUCAUCAGUUUUACUGCAGAAAUAAUAACGUGUUUGACUUGAGAAUGUUGUCUCAGUUACCUCUGGGGGUGUCAAAUACUGCAUGAGAUAUUCUGAAUUAUGAAACUCAUCUGGCCCCAUGAGUUUUGCUUAACAAGUUAUGGACUUAUAUUCUAGGAGUAUAUCCUAAUCUAUACUCAUUGAUGUAUCACCUGCAUGAUUUUGUCAUAUCCUUCUAACACCUGUAUUAAUACUUGCUUCAUACACUUUAGUUGAGUCCAUUUUUAUUUACUUUUCCAAAUGAACCUUGUUUAAAUGCACAGUGAAAAAUACCUAAUUAUUAAUAAAAAUGUUUGUCUACAUGACAUUUCAAAGCAUCCUGCUUAUCACAGUGAAAUGCACCCCACACUUUAAGCAACAGUCAUCUCAAACUAGCACAACGGGUUAGCUCUUAAAUAGUUGGAAUGCAAGCAAUAAGGGUGACAUCUGUGAGGUGGACUCUUCUUUGAGGUUUUCAGUUAUAAAUAUUCAGCAGUACAAUUCCACCAAAUGCUGGUUGCAUUCCUGCUGUGAACACGACACUGCUUAACCACAUAAGCUAUGAUGUUUUGUUGGAAAACCACAAACAGCCAGUAAAGAUGGCUGAUGGAGCGCCACUCAGAACAGCUUACCUAUGAUAAGUUCUUUCACAGACAUUCAUGUCCAUUUCCCUCGUUCACCAACAGGAGAGGUAGUAUUAGAAGAAUUUAAAACAAAAAACCAGGCCCACACGGAUUGAGAGCUUGACCCAAGAUCUCACAAGUUCCAGGCAGAGCUGAGAGUCCUGGAAUUCAGGUCCCUGCUGCUGACCUGGACAUGCCUCUGCUACAUAAAGCCACAGUCUUUCCUGCUCAGGGCACUGCUGACGCCACUUUCUGCCCUGGUUUAUACGUUAAUAUUCACAAAAGCUGCUGGGAGCCUGGACUUUCAUAAAACCAGCCUGCUCUCGGACUAAAAUACCCCCCUGUGGCCUAGUUACGAUCCUUUCCUGUUCUCCAUUAAAAAGCUCCGCAGUGGCUGAAGGGGUCUCACAAGGCUUUUAGAGGUUUAGCAAAUCUUCAAAAUGGACCAAGAAGAAUUGGUAACUGUCUUAGCAUUUUCCACAAAGUUAGAGAAACAGCAGUUAGUGGAAACAGGGCAAGGCCCAGAUAAUCUGUUCCAAGGCCACAUAUGACAUCAUAAUUUAGCCUUUUGGUAAUCAAAAAUUUCCCAAUGAUCCGAACAAGUAAAGGAAAAUCCCAACCCACCUGUAUUAGUCCAUUCUCACAAUGCAAUAAAGAACUGCUCGAGACUGGGUAAUUUAUAAAGGAAAGAUGUUUAAUUGAUUCACAGUUCCGCAUGUCUGGGCAAGCCUCAGGAAACUUACAGUCAUGGCAGAAGGGGAAGUAAAUAUGUCCUUCUUCACAUGAUGGCAGGAAAAUAACGCAGAG
rnacentral:lncRNA from 1 species